GUUGGCAUCUGUUGCGAAAAAUGAGGUGAGCCCCUCUGCGGACGGUAGCCCGUCUGAGAAACAACCGAUGGUAAAACAUAAAGAAAAUCUUCCAGUGGCGAGUUCCAGUAAAAUGAGGCCAACCUCUGAUUCCUCUUCAAAUCGCAUACGGCAGCUUCCAGUAGUGAGUUCCAGCAAAAUAAGGUCAGCCAGUGAUUCUUCUUCAAAUGAUGAAUUAGUCGAGAUGUCUGAUGUGUCACUUCACACAAGCUCACCCAGAGACGAAUUGAAGAUGAUACUGAUUCAUCGAACGACGACCUAGCGGAGGUUUUCGUGCAGCGUAAGGAGGAGGAAUCACCUACAGAACAACCCGAACUAAACUUUUUGUCGAAUGAUGACAAAGACAAUCAAACGGUG